rnacentral:lncRNA from 1 species
CACACACACACACAAAAAAAAAAAAAAAAAAAAAAAAAAAAAAAAGACGAAUCGGAGAGGCGGAAUUGGAGAGACAACCUGGGGGAAUUGGUUGCUGGAAAUUGGAAUUACAUACAUUUAUAUUUACCCCUUGCAGCCAGCAGAACGCACUUUCUGGGAAGGAGAACUGCAGCCGGCCAAAUACAACACUUCGGAAGAAUUUCUGACAGCUGGACAAAAAUUCAAUUGUGGACUGCUAGGAUUAAUUGGAAGAAGGCCCAACACACAAUUGGAUAAAUCAAUUGAGAAACGUGUAAAGCAUAGAGGGAGGCCGAAAGCAGAUUUGGAGGCAAGAAUUGAAGCUGCCGACAAUUAUUAUAUUUACAUACACACCAAUAGACGGCAACUUGAGGAGGCAGAAUUGAGAAGUUCCAGCUGGGAUUACAAUUAAAUAUUGGAGGCACUCACAGAAAUUGAGGAGAGGCACACAGAGAAGCUCAGAAAUUGCUGGAAUUUAUCACUUAUACGCACAGGAAACCGAGGAAGAAUUGGACUCCAAACAUUGAAGCUGUCGGCUGGAGUAAAAUUGAAAUUUCAUUCACGUUUCGUCAAUUAAUUCCUGUGAUGUCUUCCAUUAUUUUGUCUUGUCUUUCUUCAAUUAUUAUGAAUAGCUAAAUUUGAUUUAGGGCGAACAAUCUAACUUAAUUGGAUACCUUUAUUUCGUUGAAUUAAGAUUCUAGUGCUUUAAUUUUUUAUGUGUUGAUUUUAAUGUCGUGCUUAAUGCUUUUAAUUACUUGAUAACUAAUUAGAUGAUUUGUGAACAAUGAUUGCGUAGAGAUACGGAUUAUUUGUUUAGAUUACAUGUUAAAAUCCGGUAAAUUGAUAUAACGUGUAGAGAUACCUAUAUUAAUUGCUACGGUCAUGUGUGAAUUCUUAGAAACAAUGUUGCGU